UACGUAGGUGGCGAGCGUUGUCCGGAUUUACUGGGCGUAAAGAGCGCGCAGGCGGUCAAGUCAGUCGAAUGUGAAAGCCCCCGGCUCAACUGGGGAGGGUCACGCGAUACUGAUCGACUCGAAGGCAGGAGAGGGAAGUGGAAUUCCCGGUGUAGUGGUGAAAUGCGUAGAUAUCGGGAGGAACACCGGUGGCGAAGGCGGGUUGCUGGGCCGACACUGACGCUGAUGCGCGAAAGCCAGGGGAGCGAACGGG
rnacentral:rRNA from 1 species